CGGCGCGGAGUUCUCGGCUCGCUCCAGGAAGAGGAAGGCAAACGUGACCGUUUUUUUGCAGGAUCCAGAUGAAGAAAUGGCCAAAAUCGACAGGACGGCGAGGGACCAGUGUGGGAGCCAGGUAGGUCCGCCCGGGGUUGGGCCUCUGUGGAGGUCCUUCUCCCCCUGGGUCACAUGGGGUUUCAUGCUGUCUUGUCUCUUGCUGGAGACACUCUGGUGAGAGUGAACUUCUCUAAUGCAGCCACAGCCCAUAUGGCCCAGCACUGUACCUGUCAGUGGGCACUGGCCUCUGCCAGUCCUGGGAUUCCAGGAAGCUUGGUGUUCCUGACUGGCACCGUCUGAGAUUACAGAUAUGUGCCUAGCCUGGAAGAACCAGAAUGGACAUCACAGUAUUCAGUCCUCCCCUUCUGCCCAG
rnacentral:lncRNA from 10 species